AAUUUCGUUUUUGUUCUCUUUUUAAUGAUAACUCAGUGACAUCUCUCUCUCUUUUCUAUUUCGAUUUUGCUUGCGGUGAACAACAAUAACAACAUAGAGAAUCUCUUCCUUGCCGUGGACAACAAUCGGUUUCUAUUUUGCUCAAUCUCUCACCGGUUUCUUUCUCUGAACUCUCGGCCUCUCUCAAUCCGAAUAACACAGCAGCGACUUUCGAAGUCCUCCGGCGGCCAUGAAAACUCAUAUUGACGAGAACAGCUUAAGCUAUACACCGAUUUCUUUCACAAACAGAGCUGCAACAAACUAUAAUAUUUAGAGAAAGUGUGAAGACUUACCUACGGCGAGGAGAUUUUCACCGGAUUUUAUGUUGAGCGUCGGUGUUUUGAAUCAUAGGAUAUUGACGAUUCAUCUAUGGAGGCUCGAAGAUUGUUGAAUUUUUGAGAGUUUGUUGUGAUGAG